UCCAAGUGAAGCAGAGGACAGUGGCGGACGGGUGAGUAACGCGUGAGGAACCUGCCUUUCAGAGGGGGACAACAGUUGGAAACGACUGCUAAUACCGCAUGACACUUUUUGAGGGACAUCCCUUAAAAGUCAAAGCUUUAUGUGCUGAAAGAUGGCCUCGCGUCUGAUUAGCUAGUUAGUGAGGUAACGGCUCACCAAGGCGACGAUCAGUAGCCGGUCUGAGAGGAUGAACGGCCACAUUGGGACUGAGAUACGGCCCAGACUCC
rnacentral:rRNA from 1 species